CGUCAAUAUUUCAGUUUCACUGACCUGUUGAACUUGGACCCAGCCCGGAACCAAGGAGCAGAGGUGGGGAUACAUUUUAGAUGAGGCUACGAACCAUCUCAGGGCAACGGACACACAGAUUUGUAUUCCUCACACAUAAGGGCAAUUCAUAGUCAAUCCACCUUCUGCUUGUUUUUAGAGGUUCAAGGUGCAACGUGGUGCAAGGUAGAAAGACAGGGUCCCAGUCCACUGCAGAGUUUUAUGCACUUACCCAAUUGCUCACAAAAACUGAUUAGGCGAGCUGGGGCAGUGGUCAGCAUUGAGCUGAAACGACUGGUAACAGUGGCACAAGAAAGACCCUGAGUAAAUUCCACUGAACAAUGACAGUCAUGAGACUGUACGAGACAGAGGAGUAUGUUCAGUGACAGGCUGUCACAGAGCUACUCCACAGACAGGCUAAGAAGGUCCUUUGUCCCCAGAGCCAUAAUACUCUACAACUCUACCCGGCAGAGUAGGUGUAUGUGGAUGUAUAAGUAUGUGUGUAUCAGUGGCGAUUUCUCUAAGACUGCAAGGGAAGCUCAGCUUCCCCUAAAAUGUCAAAAAUUAAAUGGUCAAAUAUG